rnacentral:sRNA from 1 species
CUAAACAUCUUGUGCUAAAUGGCCAAUUUUUUUUACCUGGAAUCCCGUUAGUUGAACAUCCGGUUAUAGUUGUCCAAUUUCGCUGCCUUUCUGCAAUCGGAGUGGAGCCCAACAAAUGUAGUUAAGUUCCUGUGAAUUUCUCAGGAACCAGACAACUUUUGUUUGUCUUUUCACAAGCAAUACUGUAAAGUGUCUUUUUGGAAGUGGCAAGUCCACAUCCAUGCAAACACAAAGAUCACAUUUUAGUUGUAUUUCCCCAUUUCAAUGACUGAGCGUUUCAAGGGGCUUGUUUAAACGCGGU